CUCUCCCUCUCUCCCUUUUCUUGAUUUUUCUCCCCCUUCCUCCCUCCCUCCUUUCCUUCCUGCAUUUUUUAAGCUAGUGCAGCCCACUGUCCCACUACUUCUAGUAUGUUCAGGCUAGGCAUGAGUUUUUAAAAGUAGGUGGAAUGAGAUCUGGGUCUCUCUGCCUCUCUCUGACACCUUUCCCUUGUUCCCACUAAAUGGGAUCCUCCUCUGCUUGUCCAGGAAUUCCCAUGCCUUUGUCCAUGCUUGUCCCCCAUUGUUUCCUGUGCUUUUUGACAGUGAAAACAUGACUUCAGCCACCUCCUUCAGAUUCAGGAAUAAAAAGUUUCCAAAAUACAUUCUCUGUAUCCAGUAUCAAGCUGUAGCUGGAAGAAAAAAAAAUACACAUAUAUGUGUGUGUGUGUGUGUGUGUGUGUGUGUGUGUAUGUUGUAUCUCUCUAUACAUGUAUUUUACCUGAAAAAAUAGGUAUAUACAUAAUUAUAAAAUAAACUUUCAAUUACAGAAUAGUUUAAGAUUUCCAGAAAAGCUGCAAAGAGAAUACAGAGAAUCCCCAUAUACCCGGAACCCGCUUCUCCUGCUAUUAUCUUACAUUAGUAUGUGACCUGGAAGAAUACUGGGGGUUUGUAAAAUGUCUCUCAAUUGGGGUUUGCCUGACGUUCUUCUAACGGCAUAACGUGUCUUGAGGAUGAAGGCCACAGGGGUAAAAUGUCGUUCUUAUUACAUUAUAUCAACAUACAUACUAUCAAUAUGAUUUAUCACUGUUGAUGUCAACCUUGAUUAUCUAGCUGAGGUUGAGUUUGCCAGAUUUCUCCACUGUAAAACUACAUUUACUCCCUUUUCCUAUUCCUUUUGGAAGCAAGUCACUAAGUACAGCCCACACUGAAGGAGGGGAAGUUAUGCUCCACUUCCUCGAGGAGAGAAUAUCUAAAAAAAUGAUUUGGAGUUCUUCUGUAUGAGAGAUGUAUUCAGCCAUUUAUCUGCAUCAGCAUGGACUCGAUCUAUUUUUAUACUUCACAUAAUAAAUAAAAUAAUAAAAUGAAAAUAAUAAUAAAUAAUAAAAGCUUUACUUUUGACUUGAUCUGUAGGUUUUUUCCUUUCGUGUGGAUGGAGCCCAUAUCCUUGAAAGGAUCUGGAGAUACUGUCCACAGCCGGGAGGACAGACCGCUCAUCAAUCACGCAAACACAGGGUACCAGGGGGCGUGGGAAACAUUUUUUACUUCUUCCCUUUGGAGGCUGGUCACCCACAAAUUCCACCCUGGAUGGACAUCCUGAAGGCUCUUCCUCUCUUGUCCAUCUUCGCCCUCAUGGUUCCUCUUAAUCUUUUCCACCCCUAUAUCCACCCACGCCUGGUAGGGAUUUGGGGGGGAACUUCAUUCUAAUUUGCAUGACAAAAUAGCGCUCAAUACAAUAAAAUAACAUUCAUACGUAUCAUAGCUCUCCUCCUAUUGCAGGUUUUCUAGGUGCACCGUUUGGGGUACUAUAAAUACAUUAUUCCUAAUCUUGACGCUAACGACAAGGUGAUUAUUAUUCCCAUUUUACAGAUGUGGAAACUGGUGUCUGAGAGUUGAAAAAAUCUCCCAAGGUUUUCCUCUACCUGCAAACUGCACUCGUCCUCAGCAGUUUCCUUCACUAGUUCCUCUCUUCUCAUCUCUUCCUAAAGUUCCUCUUUUCACUCACUUUCCUUGUGACCAUGGGCAAACCACUUGCUGUGGGCCUCAGUUGUCUGUCUUGCAAUCCUGUUGGAUGAAUUCAGUGAGAUGCAUGGAACGCCUCCCCACCGGCUUCAGUAAGGGGCAUCUGUAAUUACUGUUCAUUUCAAGAGGAUUACAUUAACUUAAUAAAAAACCUCUCUCUUUCUA